UGCAGAGCAACAGAGACACUCGAUCUAACGCGAGAGUUUUUAAUUUGAUUAAAUAUGACUCCUAAGUUCAUAUAAACUGAAGAAAUCAGAAUUUAACUUGCAUAUAUUCAAUGAUACAGCGUGAUUGUGUGGAUUGAGCACUUUUUGAGCUUUCAUUUUGACCUGUGUGAUUAUGUUAAACCACAUGGUGCGUUGUGUUCACUGCUGUUCGCUGACGCCAUUUUGGUUGCACGUGCCUGUGAAAGACAAAAAGAGAGAGAAACACGUGAAUGGACAGGUAUUUGUAUAAA